UAGCGCAGCUUGGUAGCGCACCUCGCUUGGGACGAGGGGGUCGCAGGUUCGAAUCCU
rnacentral:tRNA from 1 species